rfam:Gossypium hirsutum cultivar TM-1 unplaced genomic scaffold scaffold1852.1, whole genome shotgun sequence
UUUUAAAAAUUUCAUCUAUUUGUAUUGUUAAAAACUGACGUGAUUGACGAAAUAACCAUAUCGUAACCCAUAGCAUGCUAUGUGUACCUCAUGUUGACGUACAUGAACAAAUUUUUAAUAACAAAAAUGGAUGAAAAUUUUAACA